rnacentral:rRNA from 1 species
AUUGAACGCUGGCGGCAGGCCUAACACAUGCAAGUCGAACGGUAGCACAGAGAGCUUGCUCUCGGGUGACGAGUGGCGGACGGGUGAGUAAUGUCUGGGAAACUGCCCGAUGGAGGGGGAUAACUACUGGAAACGGUAGCUAAUACCGCGUAACGUCGCAAGACCAAAGUGGGGGACCUUCGGGCCUCACACCAUCGGAUGUGCCCAGAUGGGAUUAGCUAGUAGGUGGGGUAAUGGCUCACCUAGGCGACGAUCCCUAGCUGGUCUGAGAGGAUGACCAGCCACACUGGAACUGAGACACGGUCCAGACUCCUACGGGAGGCAGCAGUGGGGAAUAUUGCACAAUGGGCGCAAGCCUGAUGCAGCCAUGCCGCGUGUAUGAAGAAGGCCUUCGGGUUGUAAAGUACUUUCAGCGGGGAGGAAGGCGGUGAAGUUAAUAACUUCACCGAUUUACGUUACCCGCAGAAGAAGCACCGGCUAACUCCGUGCCAGCCGCCGCAGUAA